UGGGGAAUAUUGGGCAAUGGGCGAAAGCCUGACCCAGCAACGCCGCGUGAGGGAAGAAGGCCUUCGGGUCGUAAACCUCUGUCGCAGGGGACGAGGAGAAGACGGUACCCUGUGAGGAAGCCCCGGCUAACUACGUGCCAGCAGCCGCGGUAAUACGUAGGGGGCGAGCGUUGUCCGGAAUGACUGGGCGUAAAGGGCGCGUAGGUGGCCUUAUAAGUUUGGAGUGAAAGUCCCGCUUUCAAGGUGGGAAUUGCUUUGAAGACUGUAGGGCUUGAGUGUGGGAGAGGAUAGCGGAAUUCCCGGUGUAGCGGUGAAAUGCGUAGAGAUCGGGAGGAACACCAGUGGCGAAGGCGGCUAUCUGGACCAAGACUGACACUGAGGCGCGAAAGCGUGGGUAGCAAACAGG
rnacentral:rRNA from 2 species